rnacentral:misc_RNA from 1 species
UGGUUCUGGCAUCGAUGAAGAACGCAGCGAAAUGCGAUAAGUAAUGUGAAUUGCAGAAUUCAGUGAAUCAUCGAAUCUUUGAACGCACAUUGCGCCCCUUGGUAUUCUGAGGGGCAUGCCUGUUCGAGCGUCAUUAUAACCACUCAAGCCUGGCUUGGUAUUGGGGCUCGCGGUUCCGCGGCCCUUAAAAUCAGUGGCGGUGCCGUCUGGCUCUAAGCGUAGUAAUUCUCUCGCUAUAGGGUCCUGGCGGUAGCUUGCCAAAAUCCCCCUAUUUUUUACGGUUGACCUCGGAUCAGGUAGGGAUACCCGCUGA